UCUUUUUCCUGUUGAAACCUCUUCUAUCCCCCUCUCGCUCUCUCUCUCUGAAACCCUUCCAUUCAUUCCACUCUAUUCCUCUUGUGUUUGAGAAGCAAUUGACGCCUCCAUCUCUUCUACCCAUUACCCAUUGAUAGCGCUGCAUCCCUGCUCGCCUCGCCGCCUUCAGCUCAGCCUUCGCACCAAUUUUUGUGAUGUUUUGAAUAUAUGGGCAUAACAGGGUUUGGGUUUUGGAUGGUGGCCUACCAAGAUGGCGUGCUUCAGGAUUUGAUGUUGAACUUGAAGACCACCCUCUGUAAUGAUGCCAUGAAGAAAGUAUACCAAGGGCAACAUCAGGUCGGAUUUGUAUCUUUCAAACCAAAUUCCAGCCCCAUCUGAUUUGGAAUCUCGAGCAAGUGUUUUUCCUUACAUUCUCAAUUCGUAUACCUUUGGAUUCGUGCUUUGCUUCUCCGGCGAUUACAGCGGCGAUAGGAUUGAAUUUCAGUAGAUCUUUUCUUUCCUGUCUUACGUAAAUAGAUCUGCUUUGCAUCGUUUCUUCGAUCUCGGUUUUUGAAUUUAUCUUUUGCAUUGCAGGUGUUGCCGGAAACAGGCCUUUGCGAGGUUGCCCUCAGCUGCCUUCUGCAGUAAUUGUUUCUUGAUUUAUUUGACUGUUGAUGAUGAGUGAUUGCAAAGUGGAGAUUAUCAAUGAUGGGAUGCAGGAGUUCUAUAUGGAUUUUCAAGGCCCCAACGAAAGUAAUAAAUCUUCCCUUCAAAUUUUAUUUUUAUAUUUUUUUCAUCUUUAGCUGUGUAAUUGAAAGUUGUUUGGGAGUUUUGUUGAACACUGCUGGAAAUUUUAGAGCAUAUGUUUUGUUAAGAAUCUUGUGCAGAAAAUGGGAAAGCAACUCUUUAUAUGGUAGAAUUUAAAUGUUGCACUGACAUCCUAAUUUUAUGAAA